rfam:Asian citrus Psyllid, Diaphorina citri - Florida Strain, whole genome shotgun sequence.
GCUACUGGUUAUAGCACGUAGAAUACACCAGUUGCAUUAUUGACGCUAAGCAACGUUGUGUGUGGUUAGUAUCCGACUGGGUGAUUAACUCGGUGAUUGCGUGCUGCUGGCU